GCACAAGCAGCGGAGCGUGUGGUUUAAUUCGAUGCUACACGAAGAACCUUACCAGGGUUUGACAUACAAGUAGUAGGGAAAGGAAACUGGACCGACCCUUCGGGGAGCUUGAACAGGUGCUGCAUGGCUGUCGUCAGCUCGUGUCGUGAGAUGUUCGGUUAAGUCCGCUAACGAGCGCAACCCUCGCUGUGUGUUACAAGUGUCACACGGAACUGCCGGUCAUAAACCGGAGGAAGGUGGGGAUGACGUCAAGUCAGCAUGGCCUUUAUAUCCUGGGCUACACACACGCUACAAUGGGAAGGGACAAUAGGUUGCGAAACCGCGAGGUGGAGCCAAUCCAGCAAAACUUCCCUCAGUUUAGAUUGCAGGCUGCAACUCGCCUGCAUGAAGUUGGAGUUGCUAGUAAACGCAGGUCAGCCAUACUGCGUUGAAUACGUUCCCGGGGCUU
rnacentral:rRNA from 1 species